rnacentral:rRNA from 1 species
UACGUAGGGGGCGAGCGUUGUUCGGAAUUACUGGGCGUAAAGGGCGCGUAGGCGGCCGAUCAAGUUAGAUGUGAAAGUCCUGGGCUUAACCUGGGGACUGCAUUUGAUACUGCAUGGCUAGAGAUCGAGAGAGGAAAGUGGAAUUACGAGUGUAGAAGUGAAAUUCGUAGAUAUUCGUAGGAACACCAGUGGCGAAGGCGACUUUCUGGCUCGAUACUGACGCUAAAGCGCGAAAGCGUGGGGAGCAAACAGG